UAAAAGCGGCAAAACUCUUCCAAACCAAUGAUCAACUCAGCGAUGCAAGAUGGCCGAACGAACGGUUGAUAGACCUGGCGCCACAAACACAGGAAGCCCUUUGUGUUUUAAUUGGGAUUCCUGUGGUGGUAAUAAUGCCACAGUAAGCCCAAGUCAGCAGUUGGUUCUAUUUGAUUGGAUGACCCAAAGGGUUCAGAAGUAGCUGGACCAGUAGUCACUGAGAAAAAAAUAUUGACCUUCAUUGGCAAGGACUUGCCAUUCCUGGUACCAACUAAACCCUGUCUAGUUCAUUGAAGUACCCAACACUGACAACCCCGGCCUGUGAGGGGUUGGACAAUGGAGUCUAGGAACUUUCUCUCAACAAAUGAGGUGCCAAAGAGAAAUAGCUCUUCUUUGCUGUCUUUUUAUUAGAAGACAUUUGGGUUGAAGGAAGAGGUUUUGGAAAAAGGAAGGUCCAAACUGACCGAGAUGCAGCCAUUCUCAGUCCUACCUGUUUAGCCAGUCUACAAGCUUCUGCUUGGUCAUCUAAGAUUUCAUAAUAAAACACUGAAUAGUUGAGUGCAAGACCCAGACGGAUUGGAUCAGUUGGUGCUAACUUAUCACUUUUGGAUGCAUGGACAUCAUUACAAAUUUCUUGAGCUCUUUUAUAAGCUCCCUGGGACUUAUCAACAGCCUCUGUGGGGAUGACAAAUGUAAAGCAUAUGAUUAGAGAAACAAUCAAACAGAUUAGUGUUGUGCGAAUAUUGUACCUUCUUCGUACUAGUUUUUGCAAGGCUUUAAUUUCGCAAUUUUCAUGAUUUAAAAAAAAUCCUGAAAUUAAAACCUCACAAAAAAUAAACACGCAAAAUGUAAUACAUUUCCAUAAUUACUUCAAUCAGUUAACUUCUUUAUGUAAAAAUCUUGAUUGUAAAUCGAUUAUUGUUAUCAUUCAAUAAAAAAGGAUUG